GACGAACGCUGGCGGCGUGCUUAACACAUGCAAGUCGAACGGAAAGGCCCUGCUUUUGUGGGUUGCUCGAGUGGCGAACGGGUGAGUAACACGCGAGUAACCUGCCCUUGACUUUGGGAUAACUUCAGGAAACUGGGGCUAAUACCGGAUAGGAGCUCCUGCUGCAUGGUGGGGGUUGGAAAGUUUCGGCGGUUGGGGAUGGACUCGCGGCUUAUCAGCUUGUUGGUGGGGUAGUGGCUUACCAAGGCUUUGACGGGUAGCCGGCCUGAGAGGGUGACCGGCCACAUUGGGACUGAGAUACGGCCCAGACUCCUACGGGAGGCAGCAGUGGGGAAUAUUGCACAAUGGGCGGAAGCCUGAUGCAGCAACGCCGCGUGCGGGAUGACGGCCUUCGGGUUGUAAACCGCUUUCGCCUGUGACGAAGCGUGAGUGACGGUAAUGGGUAAAGAAGCACCGGCUAACUACGUG
rnacentral:rRNA from 1 species